rnacentral:rRNA from 1 species
UGAACGCUGGCGGCAGGCCUAACACAUGCAAGUCGAGCGGAUGAAAGGAGCUUGCUCCUGGAUUCAGCGGCGGACGGGUGAGUAAUGCCUAGGAAUCUGCCUGGUAGUGGGGGACAACGUUUCGAAAGGAACGCUAAUACCGCAUACGCUCUGUGGAGGAAAGGGGGGGAUCUUCGGACCUCUCGCUCAAGGGGCGGCCGAUGGCAGAUUAGCUAGUUGGUGGGGUAAAGGCCUACCAAGGCGACGAUCUGUAGCUGGUCUGAGGGGACGACCGGCCACACUGGGACUGAGACACGGCCCAGACUCCUACGGGAGGCAGCAGUGGGGAAUUUUGGACAAUGGGCGCAAGCCUGAUCCAGCAAUGCCGCGUGUGUGAAGAAGGCCUUCGGGUUGUAGAGCACUUUGUCCGGAAGAAAACCUCGUGGUUAAUACCCGUGGGGAUGACGGUACCGGAAGAAUAAGCACCGGCUAACUACGGGCCAGCAG